CCCUUAGAUGUUCUGGGCUGCACGCGCGCUACACUGAAGCUAUCAACACGUUUUCCCUCCCUGAGAAGGGCGGGUAACCUUUUGAAUCAGCAUCGUGGUAGGGAUCGGGGCUUGCAAUUGUUCCCCGUGAACCAGGAAUUCCUAGUAGACGCGAGUCAUAAGCUCGCAUCGAUUAAGUCCCUGCCCUUUGUACACACCGCCCGUCGCUACUACCGAUUGAACGUUUUAGUGAGGCAUUUGGACCGACGCAUCUCAGUUUAACCGCUGGUUUGUGUUGGAAAGACUUCCAAACUUGAGCGUUUAGAGGAAGUAAAAGUCGUAACA
rnacentral:rRNA from 1 species